GAAGAAGCACCGGCUAACUCCGUGCCAGCAGCCGCGGUAAUACGGAGGGUGCGAGCGUUAAUCGGAAUUACUGGGCGUAAAGCGCAUGCAGGCGGCCUGUUAAGUCAGAUGUGAAAGCCCGGGGCUUAACCUCGGAAUUGCAUUUGAAACUGGCAGGCUAGAGUCUUGUAGAGGGGGUAGAAUUUCAGGUGUAGCGGUGAAAUGCGUAGAGAUCUGAAGGAAUACCAGUGGCGAAGGCGGCCCCCUGGACAAAGACUGACGCUCAGAUGCGAAAGCGUGGGGAGCAAACAGGAUUAGAUACCCUUGGUAG
rnacentral:rRNA from 1 species